CAAGUCCGGCAGUGGCAGGCACGCUGAAUUGCAAAUUCGGAGAAGCCACAAUCUUUGUGGCCCGGACU
rnacentral:tRNA from 1 species